rnacentral:lncRNA from 1 species
AUUACAAUGUGUCUGCCAUAUUGACUUGUAGGGCAUACAUCUAACAGGACUAAGGACUAAUGAUGGGAGCAAGGAUUGGGGACUAACAUUUCUUAAGUGGAUUUGUAAAAGCCAUAAAUAAUGAAGGGUGGAGAUUUAUUAUGGAGAGAAAGGGGCAUGAGGAUUGAAGCAUUGGAAGAGAGAUGGCAUGCUCGGAUUAGGGAGUGAAAUAAGAGAAUGCGUGAAGGAAAAACAAAAAGGGAUGAGCUAGUGUUUGUUGCACGA